GGAGCCCAGGGGACCUCCACCUCUGCUGUCCUCAUCACCCAUCUCCUGACUAGCACUUCCCUCAGCUGCUCUGAUGAGGAGCAACCCACAGCAUGCCCCUCUUCCGUUCCCAUGACUCUGGCCUGGAACCUCGGGAAGUAUCUCCUUGCCUCCUGCCUCCUCGUUCCCUGCACCAACCAUCCAAUGCUCCCUUCGCCCACUCUGGUGUUCUCUCUCCUCGACAUUCCUCCUGGCAGCAGAGUUAAAAUUGCCUCUCCCCUACCAACCUGCAAACUUGUGGAAAACGGGGCUUUAUCUUAUUCGUGUCUGAAUCUCCAGCACUUGGCACACCGUAGACAUCCACUCAUCUUUAGAAAGACAUCAUAUUUGCAGUGCUGUCUGUUACCUGGUGGUAACCAUCCGGGGAGGAAGGAGAGCUCGUCCCUACAGCCCUCUGUGCCCUGAUGUGGUCAAUACCCCAACACCGCCUAAGAUCUGGGUCAGAACAGACGGAGAGUUGAGUGGGGGAUGGCACCCGUAUUUGGCAUGAACCACUGGCGGCAUCAUAGAAACACCUUCCUACCCUCUCUUCCUUCUCCCUGAAGAACCCCGAUGGAAAAAGCAAUACAUCAGGGCAGGAGAAGGCCCCUGGGGCGGACGUAACCGUCCAAGGCAUCUUCCCUUCAAGUUAACUUUGGAUCCUUCAAUCAGCUCCAGAAAUGAUAAGGAAGGUGUUACUGCCUCCGUUUUUAUAAGGGAAAAAGGAAGGAUUAGUAAGCAGGCCAAGGUCAGAGCCGCUGUGUCACGCAUCUCCCCAGGGCACCACCCCGGGGUGCUACCGGGACCCUGCAGGGCAUCGGGGCUGAAAGCUCCCGCAGACCCUGAUCCCAGAGCCCCAGAGCCGCCCAGGGCAGGAGCCCAGACCCCGAUCCUAAGGGAAGCCUGAGCCGGUCUCCCACUUAAAAAAGAAGUCCGAAACCACGGGUCUGACCAACCCCCCUCAUUUUACAGACCCAUAAAUGGAAGCCCACAGUGGAGACAUUGUGAGAGCCCCUCUCACAACCAGGUGGAGGCAGCCCUGUGGCUGGGAGCUCCCGAGGCUGACUCCGGGCCUCCUACUCUGCCCUGGGGCCGGACCCUAUUUUUAAGACUUUACCUUUUAUAGCCUGUUCUAGUCUGCCUCCAGUCUUCCUACUGGAGGAAUUGAAGGCAUCGGAUUCCCUAAUGUUAUGGGGGAUUUUUUCCCCCCAAAGACUUGAUGACUUUCUAAUUGUGAGUUUGCCAGAGUAGGACGGGGGCUGUGUGCUCUCUGCAUCCAAAUCCCACUGGGAGGGAAGUAGCCACAGGCGUGCGCUGAACUGCCUCAGGGGAGACAGGGCUCAGCCACCACUAGACAUGCACCCCCACACGCUCAUUUUAUGAUGUCUCAUCCCAGCCCAAAAUGGGGGUAUUUUCUAAAUGUUAUUGCCUUUUUCUCUAAUUAUAAAACAGUAUGUGUUCACUGAAGAAGAUUUGGAACAUUUAGUGGGGGAAAAAAAAUCACAAGUAAAACCACUAAUCAAAAUUAAUCUGCUUUCACGUUCGAGGAUAUUUUCUUCUCGUCUUGUUCCUAGGCGUGACACAUGCUCCUUUUUGAAAUUGAAAUUGCUUUUUUAAUCUGUUUUGGUAGCCUGCUUUUUUUUUCUAUUCAUACUCAAUACCAUAUUGUAAACAUUUUCUCUGUCAGCAUGGUCUCUAAAGACAUGAUUUUCCUAGUCACUAUUUGGACGAACCAUAAUUUAGUUUUAAUAAUUCUCUAACCCUGGACAUACCUGUUGCUUCUUAUUUUUCAUCCUUAUUUCUAAAAACAAAGCACUGUAAUGAACUUCCUCGGAUGCCAGUUUUGUGCACAUCUUUAAUUAUUUCCCUAGGACAUAUUUCUAAAAGUGGAAUUGCUGGAUGAAAGGGUAUAAAUAUUUUUGAAGAUUUUAAAGCAUAUUAACAAAUUGUCUUCCAAAAAACACCUGGACCAAUUACACAGACAUCUACAGUAUAUGAAAGCUUUUUUUCUCCACAGCAUAUACAUGCAUAUACUCUCUACCCCCCAAUACAAUAUCUCCAUCUUUUUUUUAAUUUGCAAAUUUAGUAGGUGAUAAAAGAUUCCUCGUUUUACUUUGUAUUUAUUUGAUUGCUAAUGAGUUUAGAUGUUCUUUCCUGUUUAACAUUCACUUGUCUUUCUUUUUUGAUGAACUAUUUUUCUUCUUCACACCACCUCCUUACUGCUACAAGUCUGUCUGCUCUGUGUUGGUCAUAGACAUUUGGAGCUUAGAGGAAUCCUGUAUUUCUCAGGUGAGGAAGCUCAGCCACAAGCAGCCCAAGAUCACAUCUUGAGUUAACAGCAAGGCCAGAACCAGAGCCUACAUCGCCCAGGUCCACACGAGCACUGUUUCUACUCCCCACGCCAGUUCUUUGUCAAUGGGUCAUGGACGUGGGAAGUUCAUAACCCAUACACUUGGUCAGUAAGACUUUUGGGACAUUUAAUAACAGCCUUAAUGUCAUCAGAAUCCAUCACCACCAUCAACUUGAUUGUCAGUAAUGGUCUUUAUUAAAAGCUUCAAAGGAUGGACUUUUAUUAAAGGUUACUUAAUAAAA